rnacentral:rRNA from 1 species
UACGUAGGGUGCGAGCGUUAAUCGGAAUUACUGGGCGUAAAGUGUGCGCAGGCGGCAGAGCAAGUCGAGUGUGAAAGCCCCGGGCUUAACUUGGGAAUUGCGCUCGAAACUACUUUGCUGGAGUGUGGCAGAGGAAGGUGGAAUUCCACGUGUAGCGGUGAAAUGCGUAGAGAUGUGGAGGAACACCAAUGGCGAAGGCAGCCUUCUCGGGCCAACAGU